rnacentral:lncRNA from 1 species
UUCACAGGCCAUGGUAUGUAAAUCUGACCGAUAACCUGUGAUAUAUUUGUGCAUGCCGUGAGAAGAGAAUAAAUAAAUACAUGCACACUGUACAGAGAAAUGCGUGUAAAGCUUAUGAUUAAUUGCAGUCGUAGAUGCCUGUAGAUGGAAUAAACGUGGGUUUGUAAUUUGAGAAUUCUUUGAUUUAAUGGAACAAGAAGCUGUAAAUAGUAUUUAAGAUGAUAUCAAAGAUCUGCACCGUCUAUGGAUGUAUUUGCUUGUAAGAAAACGCUGUCCUAUUUGCAACUACUUUUCAAGACAGUUCCUCUCCGGCAUCUAAUUAAACGACAUCCUUGCCAGCUCUAGCUCACCGCCUUCAACAUAUCCAUUAACCAUACUCGUCCAAGAGAACACAUCACUAACUCCCAUGCUAUAAAAAAUCCCUCAUGUAAAAGAAAGAUAGCAUAAGUUUAUUUUUUAAUAGUCAUAAAUUCGAGUUGUUUUAAGGUUAUUAGAGAUUUAUAUGAUUAUUAAUUUUAAAACUAAUAAGAUUAAUUGAGUUAUAUGUAAACUGAUCUGGCACUUCUGCUUAAACAUCCUUAUUAAUACAUAAAAAAUCCCUCUUGCAGAAUAGCAGCCACAUUUCACAUUCAUGGUGAUUUACAUUUCUAGUUUUACGUGUUCGUGAAAAUUCUUCCCUAAUCUCAAACCCAUUAGUCAUAGACAGAAAGUCCAUCUCUAGCAGCAAGUCCAUCUCUGAUUCUCUAGCAGGAAUAGCACAAGGACCUGAUUUCCCUCCUAAAACUCUCAAAAACUGCUCGCACGCUUUGAGCGCAAGAACAAAGCUCCUGUAUCAGAGUUCACUAUAUAAAUGGUAGAUAAAAACCUUUUGAAAUACUAUCAAUUAUUUACCGUGCCAGAGUAAAGUACCUCUAAUCAUGGUAUUCCAAAUAUAAGCACUGGGGUUUUGUAUCUGCGAAAACAGAAGACGAUCACGAUUUAUACCUGCAGUGUGAGAGAGGGCAAAAGGCCAAGGCAAGACAAAGCUUGGGGGUAGAUUAGCCAGACUAUAAAGGAGAAGGACUUAUUUGUACUUGUUCCAAGAUUGUGAGUCAAAAUAAUACCGCUUCUUUUCCUUCAAACGCAAUCUCGUCCUACGUUCCAGGGAAUCUUUUUACCUAAUCUUUUAAUAUAUAUUUGAAUGGCAUCUUGGCUUAAGUUCCUUCAAUUAUUGCUUUCGAAUAUUCUCAUGGUAUUGCUCUUUGUUUUUGAGGAUCCAAUUAAUAAGCAAAUCAUGGAGACUUGGCUGUUGACCUCAAUCUCGUCUGCUUGACUCCUUCAAUAUCUUGGAUGUGAACGGCUUGGAAUAUUGGGUGUUCUUGUUUUUGAUACAUGUAAAGAGGUAAGCUAAGCAUCUCUUUCAAGAAUCUCUCUAGCUGCUGCAGCGAUGCCAAAUCGCUUUCUUUCUUCAAGUUCCUUAGAAGGAGUAUUGUAUAGCAACCAACUUUCUUUGCGUUUUGCUCCAGGUCUGGGCCAAUUUUGAUGCCUUUUGUGAAUCCCUCCAUCUGGGCUUAUCAAAAGAGGAGGAGGAAAGAAGUAAGUUUCUCUUCUCAGUUAGUGCUAUUGAUUACUCUCACAUAUUGAUUACGUUCUGUGAAUUUUAAAGGACUGGACAUGUUUCAAUUCAGUACUGAGCUAGUUUCUUGAUGGUUGCUUGCCUGCUUGCUCCAAACUUCUUUACAAAACCAAUCAAACUUCACAUAAACUAGGAAGGAAAGGGGGAAGUUGGAAUCUUGAGUUCACAGGUUAAUGGUGGAGUCCAUGUUACAAUUGCUUUGCUUAAACAAAUCCGUUCCGGUUAGCGUUCUGUUUUUUCAAUUGAAAUAAAAUGAACAUAAUUUCAACUCACAUCUAUAUAUAACCACAAUUUUAAAAGUUGGGCUUUAGUCGGUAUGACCUAAUUAAUUGGAUGAAUUCAAUGACAACAUCAGCAACUAAUAAAAUAAUUUGACUAAAAAUAUUAUGUAGUUCAAUUCUCCAUAAGUUAAACUUAUUGUUAAAUAAAAAAAAUUUAAAAAAUCAAAUUAAAAAAAAAAAGACAAAGAAUGACCUUUAAAAACAAAAUUAUGAAAAUACAAUCUUCAAUUUUGCAAGAUCUUUCUAAACUUUUAACUUGAAAUAUUACAAUAUGUUUGGAGAUUCCCCGUAAAAUUUCAGUCUCAUUUAAUACUUAAAUUAAAAAAUAUAAUUGAUAUUAUAAAAGUAGACAAUAUUUAAAAAAAAAAUGAAAAAAAAAAUUAUUGCCCCUCUUUUAGUUUUACUCGGUCCCUCCAACCUAUUAUUAUUAUUAUUAUUGCCCCUCUUUUAGUUUUAAGAUAUCCCACGUUAUUUUAUCAGUCGAAAGUUUUAUAAAUACCAGAGUUUCCAGAAAUCUCCAAAAUGUCAUCAAAGUUUUAGGAACAUAAUUUUAUAGAUAUGUUAUUACGAUAGGAUUAUAUCUCAAUAUUGACACCAUAGGAUUUGAAUCCAUCGAUCUUAAUUUGUUUCAUAGCAUCACCAAUGAGUUAGUUCCCAUGAUUUCAAAAACUAUAUAUAUGGAUUCUCUAUGGUUUUAAAUCAAUGGAAAUCUUCAUUUUCAGACACUUGAAAAGCGCACAAAAUAGAAAAAAAUAAAAAUAAAAAACCUACAAAGUUGAAAAACCUGGAAAUGUAAAAAACUUGAGAAUUACAUGCACGUAAUACAUAUUCAAGAAACUAAGAACAGCAACAUAUUUAUUUAAUUCGACGGACGCAGAUAACAUUGAUUAUGAUCACUACAAACACUCAAACAUAAACACGUACAUAAAUUCAUUCUUCUAUAUAUAUCUGGAUAUGGCGGAGCAGCCACGCUCCAUGCAAAUAAUAGCUAGUUAGCUCUUGUCACAUCACCCCAAUCCUCCUUACCAAACAGCUUGAUACUCCUCUUAGCUUCAAUCCUGAACUGUGACCCCAGGUUCUGGUCAUCCUCACGAUGAAGAACAACCAUGUCACCAACUCUCAGUUCAUAAUAUUUAACAAAUUGACGCCAGCCCUUAGAAAGCACUGGCUUGUCAUAAUCUCCAUCUCUCUUCAGGCAACGAAUAACUCGAAGCUCACCACAGCUAUCUUUAACAUGCAAAUCAACAGAAUUAUUUCCAGCAAAAUCUAAAUGCUGCAAGCAAUGAGCUGGGAACGAGAACCGAAAACGAACAUCAGUAUCUGUCAACACUUUGCUGAAGAUCUGCAUUUUUUUCUCAAGGGUCGUAAAAAGAGAGAGAAAUGGUUAUGUUUAAGCUAUCUGCUGGAUUGAUAUGGUUUCUUGCAGGGAGCUAUCUGUUGAUUGAUAUGGUUUCUUGCAAGGGGCUUGUUGAUUUAUACUAAAAACUAGCUAGCUACUGUAUUCACGGUAGAAAGACAUCGAGCGAGAGAUUUCGGAAAUCUUGUUCAUUUGAUCGAUUUCGCAUGGCGUUAUUUAAAUCUUGGUGGAUUAUUUGUAGAUAGAACAAGAGAAACGCAGGCUUAUCAAAGACUAAAUGAGCCAGGAGGUACGCUCGUAUUGCCUCUCGUGCACCUCGUUCGUUCUAACUUGCGAAAACCAAACACUUGCUCAAGAUCUUGCAUGCUUGUCGAAGUGUUUAGUGAACUAGAGCAUUUGUGCAACUUGGACAAUGGUACAAGAAUAAAUAAGGUUUAUUUUUCAAUUAUAUUUUAUGAAAUGAAAAUUGUCCUCUUAUUAGACAUACAUGAAUAAUAAUAAAAUAUAUUUCUUAAAAAUUAUAUUUUAAAAGGUUUCAUUUAUAAUUUUAUCUAGGUUACCUAUUCAUUUUAAGUCUGGGUCAUGAACUUAAGUUUGCGUCAUGAACUUGGGAUAAUGUCAUCUCUUAAGAGAUGAGGCUUUCACUCUUUCAAUUAUCUAGCAUUAACAAAAAAAUAAAAUUAAUUACAUGUUUAUGGAGUUAUUAAUCAUGCUCAAUAAUUUUUACAGUGUGCAACUUAAAUAUGAAAAUGGAGAUUUAUAUAAUACAUUGUUAUCAGUUAAUUGUAUUUUGCCAUUACUAUUGGCUCUUGUGAUUUUAGAUAAAGCUGGUUCUUGAUCUUGCAGGCGUGUGCUCUAAGUCCGCCCAAAGUUUCAUCAAUAAGGUCCACAGAGAGGGAGAGCUACAUCCUGCAUUUUCUUGAGAUUUCUGCGAGGUUUUUGUUCGAAUAAGCAACAAGGUGCACGAUAUUGCUGGAGGGCAAGUCCUUCCAUGCGUGUCCAAAAUUCGAAGUCAUUUUCAAUUCAAGGUCAACAAUAUAUUUUUUAUAAUAUAAUAAUGCUAGAAUGACGCUCGAUCUCCUCAGCAAUCAGCAUGCAUCGAGUAAUCGCGUUUGGAUUUCGAGCUCCACUGAUUUGAAAUGCUCGGUGUCUGUGUUGUAUACAUGUAGCCCAAGGAAUAAAUUAAGAGGGUUUGGAGAAAUUUGCCACACGGGAUCAUGUCUGUACUAUCGACCGAGACGGUCAGCACUGUGGGCGUGCAAUGACGUUUCUACUCGGAGGAGGCUAUGUGAUUUCUUUUUGACAGCACUGUACUUAAGCAUUGCCCUUUACUAUUACAAUUUUAUGUGCUGCAGCAAAUCGCUUUCUUUCUUCUAGUUCUUCCUUAGCAGGAGUUUUGUAUAGCAACCAACUUUCUUCUUCGCGCUUUUCAAAGCCGCAAUAAUAGACUUAAAUGCGCAUGUCAUUUGAAACGUUGCCUCAUCGGCAUGUCAUUAGAAAUGUUCUUCUCGCGGUUCUUCGCCUCUCUCUCUGUUUUUUUUUUCUUUUUUUUAAGUACUAUUUUAAUUUUGUUUACCAACAAAAGUUAAUUGCCGGUUGAUUAAAACAAUAUAGUGAUAUGCACCCCGGGAAGCGAGCAAGCUGAACAAGCUGCAAGCAGCGACCUCAUUUUUUCAUGUUACACUAUUAGACAAAUCUAGAGUGUUUUUAAGAAUUUAUUAUUUAAAGAUAUGAUUUUUUUAUUUUUUUGAAAAAUUCUUUAAAAGUUAGGUUGUCGCAAACCACAAGUCAUUCAACUGUCCACAGCAAUCCACACGAACUACCGAUAAAACAUCUCUUAAAUUUCUAUUUCGGAGAGAGGAAUUUCUAUGCCUAGAGUACUAGCCUUUUAUUCUGUGACUUGCAUAGUUUUUUUAUCCAACAUACAACAAUAAAAUUAAGAAGCAUAGCUUACUAUUUAUAGAAAAAAUCUAAAAAACCUUAUAAAUUGGAAGACAUUUCAAUUUGCCCCUUGCUUAAUCGAGUCCUUCCUUGAUUUUUCUAGGUCUAGAAAUAUAAUAUUUGUAUUCUAGUCCUUAAUUUCUAAAAUAUAUUUUAAUCAAGUCAUACCUAAUUAAAUUAUCUCAAUUUAAUUUCUAACUAGUGGUUCUUAAUGUCUGUGACCCAUUAGGUUCCUAAUAUAUUGGCCCAAAUAUAAAUUAUAAUUCUAAUUAAAUAUAAUUAAAUAAAUCAAACAAUUUAAUUUAUUAUCAAUUCAACAAUUGAUUAAUUUAUAUUUAAAGAUCAGGUGCAUCGUCUAAUAACGUGUCAUGAUCCCCUAAAUAUUAGAGAAGUCAUUGGUGGUUUGACUUAACCUUUGAGUGACUAGUUUUUUAGUGUAAUUAAUAUCAUUUCAUCAAUAAUGUUCCGAUUAAUUAGUUGCGAGUGAAGUUGAGAAGAGAAAAAAGAAAAAUCUUACCUUAAUAUAGUUGCGAGUGAAGCUGAGAAGAGAAAAAAAUAAAUUCAUAAAGUAUAUUAAUUAAAAAAUAUAUGAGAAGAGAAAAGAAAAAAAAAAGAGAAAAAGACAUACUUGAGAAUGGAGAAGAAGAGGAGUUGAAGAGAAAAGAUAAGAGAAAGAAAGAAGAGGAUGUUGUUGUUUUUUACAUAAGGGGAAGAAGAAGAAGAAGGAGAAGAAAAAGAAGAAGCAGAAUAUGCUCGUCUGUUGUGAAAUGAGGGAUUCUAUUUAUUAGGGUAUUUUACUAAUGGUUUUACCGACGGAUAUUAAUAUUUCUAACUUUCAUUGAUGAUUUCGUCUAUAAUAUUUAAUUUAAAUUUUCAAUUUAAUUAAAAAAAUUCAGAAACCACCAAAUAUCACCAACGACUUUUCAAUCCGUUGGUGAUUCUAUUUGUAUUAUUUAAAUUAAAUUUUAAAUUUACUCAAAAAUUUUCAAAAACCUGCAAAAUAACACCAAUGACUUUUCAAUUCGUCUAUGAUUUUGUCUAUAAAGAGCAAUAAUUAACUGUGCAAUUGGAAAGUGAACAGUUCCAGUGCUCUUUGAAAAAUACCGACGAAAUGUUCUGUCGGUGAUUCCCUUUGUAAUUGACAUGAUAAACAAUGUUAGGCAAAAGUGAACACUUUACUGAUGAUUUUACCAAAGGAUUUUACCGACGGAAUUAAUUACGUCGGUAAUUCUUUUGGUAUAAAUGACAUAUCAUCGUUUUUUUUUUUUGCUUUGUUUUAAUUCUUUUUUCCCCACCGUAAUUCCUUUGGUAGAUACUGAGAGAAUAUUUUUGUCGGUAAAAUUGACUGUAAUUUUUUGACAGAAAUAUUCUGUCAGUAUUUCUGUUUGUCUUUAUCAAUUUUCUGAUAGUGCUCCACCAUAAUUAAUGUGUAAAACAAUAUUGUAUAUAUCACUUGCUGAAAAUCUAGCAAGUGAUAUUUUUCAUCAUUUUAAGGACCUAAAAAUCCAUACUCAUUUGCGUCAAGAGAUAUGAGAGUCGCUACCUAGUUGUUUGGUUUAGAAUCACUAGGAAAUCCGGGUAUACUGGUCCUAUCAAAAAUUCUAAGGGUAAGGAACUGGUUGUGGCUAGGAAAUGUAUUAACACCCCUAGCAAAAAGAGGAGGGUAAAAGGGUAUUUUAAAUUAAAAUAAACCACGUGGUCAUAACACAAAAGGGGAGGGGUAAAGGGGUAAAAUACCCUAAAACCAUCUCUAUCUCCCACUUUUCUUCUAAGUGUCGCCGACAAGGCACCUUGCCCUUGCUACCAGUGUGCUUUCCAGCGAUAGCCAAGGCUAUCGUUGCACCAAGCAACAGAAACCAAGGUCAUUGUUGCCUACAUCCACACGAGGCCCAACACUGCGAGCAACAUCUAGCACGCCUGGUGCUGCCACCCAUGACAACGUGAGACAUUGCUACACAUACUUGUUUUGUAAAAAAAUCUGAUUUUAAAAAAUCAUGAGAAAAUUUGACUUUUUCGAAGAAAAAAAAUCUUUAUUUCGCACAUAAAAUUAAUUUCUAAUUAACACUAAUAAAAAUUAAAAUGUGCAAUCAAACAAUCCUAAUUCACCUAACGAAGGCGCUAAUCCCACUAUUGGGUUUCCAUAAUGGCAUACACACAGUAGAAAGAAUAAAAAAAUUAUUUGAAGUCCAUAGGAUCCCGUUAGACAAAUCUAGAGUUGUUUAGGGAUUUAUUACCUGAAGAUCUGAACUUCUUCGGCUUUGAAUAAUUCUUUAAAGGCUGAGUUGUUGCAAACCACAAGUCAUCCAAUUGUUCAGCUUCCAACGGUAAUCUACACGAACCACUAGUGAAAAAUAUUCUAAAUCUCUAUUUAAGAGAGAGGAAUUUCUAUGCCUAUAGUACUAGCUAUUUAUUCUAUGACUAGUAUAGUUUUUUUUUUUUUUGUCUAAGACAGAUAAUAACAAAAUUAAGAGGCAUAGCUUACUAUUUAUAGAAAAUUCCAAAAAUCCCUAUAAAUUGGAAAACAUUUCAAUUUAUCCCUUGAAUAAUAUCCACAUAUUAUUGUUCUCUCUAUGGACCUGUCUCUUUUAUGUAUUGGGGGAAUGCUCGUUUUUGCUGCCUAUCUAAACUUUUUUAAAAAUUUUAUUUUUUAUUUUAAAUUAAUUUUUUAUGUUUAAAAAAAAAACUUUAUGUGUGAAUAUUAAAAUUAGAUUUUUAAAAAAAUAAAAUAAAAAUUAUUUUAAUAUAUUUUCAAAUAAAAAACAUUUUAAAAAAUAAUUUUUACCAUAAUAUCAAACACAACCUAAAUUUUAAAAGAAAAAUAAAAGGAUUUAUAUAAGGAAUGUGUAAUAGCAAGAUUUCAAACACUAAUCAACAAUAAACUCAACCAUGUAUAUUUACUAUACAAAAUGUAAAACUACUCACAAAUUACUAUUAUUAGCUACAUUAUCUGCUUUCACAAAUUAUUAUUAUUAAAACAAGGCAUGUCUUGAGCCUCAACUCAUGCGAUUCAAAAGUCUAAAAUCAUAUACACAUCCAAGACUAUAACUUUUAUGAAAGAUGUGAGGUCAGAUAAAUUUGUUUUGAAGGUAAAACCCCAAACACAAAUUGAAAGACGAGAUUAGUCUUCUAAUUUGAUGAGAAAACUUGUAGGAGGGAGUUGUAUCUUGAGAAGGAAUUUAAGAGUAUCGGAAGGAUUGUUUUCUACAUCCUUUAAACUUCAUAUCUUUAUCCUUGAUUUUAUCAUGAAAUCUUAGUCCUGAGAUACAAAAACAGGGAAAGACCAACUAGACAGUUGGGUUCUAUUUUGCUCCUGGGAUUUGGAGAGAGAUUAUCUUAAGUGCUGGAAUUUUCAGAGAUCAUGAGCAACUAAUUUCUAAUUUCGAUUUAAGGAGAAUAUACUCCAUUUCUAUUAGAAAGUUGUGAGAAGUAAUGUUGUUAUUGUAAUUCUUUUAAAUUCAAAUAGUUAAUUUUCCUAGUUUAGCUUUAAUGUACUUAUUUAGCCCAUGAGAGAAGCAUAAGCAGCGAUCAUGGAAUUUCGAGAAACAAAGAUUUUCCCUUUUCAUGUCAUUUGAAACGUUUUUAGCUUCAUGUUUAUAUAUACACACACAUACUAAUUAGCUAUUAAAAAAAUGACAAACUAACUAAAAGAAAAACUUACAUUAAAAAAAAAACAAAGAAACAACAAAAAAUACUAAUAUUGAGCAUUAAACUACCUCAAUGUAUAAUUUGAAUAUCUAGCUAGAUUAAUAUCUAUAUAAAUAAAAUUUUGAAAUUUAGCACGAAACCAUUAAACUAUACGAUGAAAAAUUAAAUCAUAAAUUUUAUUUCAACCAAGAUCAACAGCACCGUAUAUAGAUGACCAACAAAUGAUUUCAUUCCAGCAAGGAAAGCUGAAUAGUCUUCAGCAUACUCAAUCCAUUGCAUAAUCAUAACUAAUAAUUCUUCUAUAGGCAAGAAAUUUUCUGGAACUCAGACUACCCUGUAACAACAACCACAAAAACAUCUCAAUUUUUUAGAAGAAAUAUACUUGCUACAGUUAAGUAUCAAAAUUCUCAGAUCCUGCAUGCUGAUUUAACAGUAAAAAUCUCAAUGGAUUCACUGACCAAAUUCCAAGCAAUCCAAUUGACCACAAGCAGAGAGCACACGAACUGAUGUUACAAACGCAGCCUCCAGCAUGUUACAAACCAUUCUAAAGCUUCCUCCAGCAAUUUUGAUAAACGACAUCCUUGCCAGCUCUAGCUCACCGCUUUUAGCAUACCCAUUAACCAUACUCGUCCAAGAGAGCACAUCUCUAACUCCCAUGGUAUCAAAGAUCCCUCUUGCAGAAUCCAAGCAGCCACAUUUCACAUGCAUUGUGAUUUACAUUUCUAGUUUUACAUAUUCGUGAAAACUCUUCCCUUUUCUCAAACCCCCCUUCUGCGAGCAAGCUGAACGAGUGGCUAUCGUAGUGACCUCUUCUGGCUCCACAUUGCCCUCCACUGACAUCGACUCAAAAAGCUUCCCAACAGUUACGCUUAGAACACCCAUCAGUCAUAGACAGAAAUUCCAUCUCUAACAGGAAUUCCUUCAAACAAGUGUCAAGCAAAACCCAAACAACCACGCAGGUCAUAAAAACGAGCCAACCCAUCUUGAAACAACAUAGCAUGAUUUAUACCUGCAGUGUGAGAGAGGGCAAAAGGCCAAGGCAAGACAAAGCUUGGGGGUAGAUUAGCCAGACUAUAAAGGAGAAGGACUUAUUUGUACUUGUUCCAAGAUUGUGAGUCAAAAUAAUACCGCUUCUUUUCCUUCAAACGCAAUCUCGUCCUACGUUCCAGGGAAUCUUUUUACCUAAUCUCUUAAUAUAUAUUUGAAUGGCAUCUUGGCUUAAGCUCCUUCAAUUAUUGCUUUCGAAUAUUCUCAUGGUAUUGCUCUUUGUUUUUGAGGAUCCAAUUAAUAAGCAAAUCAUGGAGACUUGGCUGUUGACCUCAACACUCUCGUCUGCUUUGACUCCUUCAAUAUCUUGGAUGUGAACCAGGCUUGGAAUAUUGGGUGUUCUUGUUUUUGAUACAUGUAAAGAGGUAAGCUAAGCAUCUCUUUCAAGAUCUCUCUAGCUGCUGCAGCGAUGCCAAAUCGCUUUCUUUCUUCAAGUUCCUUAGCAGGAGUAUUGUAUAGCAACCAACUUUCUUUGCGUUUUGCUCCAGGUCUGGGCCAAUUUUGAUGCCUUUUGUGAAUCCCUCCAUCUGGGCUUAUCAAAAGAGGAGGAGGAAAGAAGUAAGUUUCUCUUCUCAGUUUUGUAUGAUAUGGUUUCUGUGCUUCAUUAUUGAAUUACUCUCUGUGAAUUUUAAAGGACUGGACAUGUUUCAAUUCAGUACUGAGCUAGUUUCUUGAUGGUUGCUUGCCUGCUUACUUCAGACUUCUUUACAAAAGAAAAGAAAAGAAAGAAAAACUGUCCUCUUGAGACAUCACAAAACCAAUAAAACUUCACAUAAACUAGGAAGGAAAGGGGAAGUUGGAAUCUUGAGUUCACAGGCUAAUGGUGGAGUCCACGUUACAAUUGCUUUGCUUAAACAAAUCUUAGCGUUCUGUUUUUUCAAUUGAAAUAAAAUGAAUAUAAUUUCAACUCAAAUCUAUAUAUAACCACAAUUUUAAAAGUUGAGUUUUAAUCGGUAGAACCUAAUUAAUUGGAUGAACAACUAAUAAAAUUAUAAUUUGAUUAAAAAUAUUAAGCAGUUAAAUUUUCAAUAAAUUUUUUAUUAAAUAAAAAUAUAAAAAAAAUCAAAUCUAAAAAAAAAAAAACAAAAGGAUGACCUUUCAAAACAAAGUUCUAAAAAUACAAUCAUCAAUUUUGCAAGGUCUUUCUAAAUUUUUAACCUGAGAUUUCAUAAUAUGUUAAGACACUUCUCAUAAAAUUUCAGUCUGAUCUAAUAAUUAAAUUGAAAAAUAUAAUUACUAUUUUAAAAAUAAAUAAUAUUUAAAAAAAUAAGAAAAAAAAAUAUUGCCUCUCUUUUUGUUUUACACGGUCCCUCCAACCUAUUAUUAUUAUUAUUUCCCCUCUUUUAAUUUUAAGAUAUCCCAUUUUAUUUUAUCAGUCGAAAGUUUUAUAAAUACCAGAGUUUCCAGAAAUCUCCAAAAUGUCGUCAAAGUUUUAGGAACAUAAUUUUAUAGAUGAUAUGUUAUUGCGAUAGGAUUUGAAUCCAUCCAUCUUUGUUUCUUAGCAUCACCAAUGAGUUAGUUCCCAUGAUUUCAAAAACUAUAUGUAUGGAUUCUCUAUGGUUUUAAAUCAAUGGAAAUCUUCAUUUUCAGACACUUGAAAAGCGCACAAAAUAGAAAAAAAUAAAAAUAAAAAACCAACAAAAUUGAAAAACCUGGAAAUCAAGCCAGAGCAAGGGAUAGAUAUGAAAUGUUAAAAACUUGAGAAUUACAUGCACCCUGUUUACAGAUAAGGAUGGAAAGACUAAGACUGAUGCUAAGAACAUCGAUUAUCACUACAAACAGUACUCAAACAUAAACAGAUUGACGCUCCAUGCAAAUAAUAGCUAGUUAGCUCUUGUCACUUCAACCCAAACCUCCUCACCAAACAGCUUCAAACUACUCCUCCUCUUAGCUUCAAUCCUGAACUGUGACCCCAGGUUCUGGUCAUCCUCACGAUGAAGAACAACCAUGUCACCAACUCGCAGUCCAUAAUCAGCAACAAAAUCACGCCAGCCCAUAGAAAGCACUGGCUUUUCAUAAACUCCAUUUCUCUUCAGGCAACGAAUAACUCGAAGCUCACCAUAGCAAUCUUUAACAUUCAAAUCAACAUAAUUAUUUCCAGCAAAAUCUAAAUGCUCUAAGCAAUGAGUUGGGAACGAGAACCGCACACGAACAUCAGUAUCUUUCAACACUUUGCUGAGGAUCUGCAUUUUUUUCUCUAAGGGUCGUAAAAAGAGAGAGAACUGGUUAUGUUUAAGCUAUCUGCUGGAUUGAUAUUGUUGCUUGCACCGAGCUUGUUAAUUUAUAACUAGCUAACUACUGUAUUCACGGUAGAAAGACAUCGAGCGAGAGAUUUCGGAAAUCUUGUUCAUUUGAUCGAUUUCGCAUGGCGUUAUUUAAAUCUUGAGGGAUUAUUUGUAGAUAGAACAAGAGAAACGCAGGCUUAUCAAAGACUAAAUGAGCCAGGAGGUACGCUCGUAUUGCCUCUCGUGCACCUCGUUCGUUCUAACUUGCGAAAACCAAACACUUGCUCAAGAUCUUGCAUGCUUGUCGAAGUGUUUAGUGAACAAGAGCAUUUUGGGCAACUUGGACACUGGCCAAGGACCCAUUUAAUAAAAAACUACAAGAAUAAAUAAGGUUUGUUCUUCAAUUAUAUUUUAUGAAAUGAAAAUUUUGUCCUCUUAUUAGACAUACAUGAAUAAUAAUAAAAUAUAUUUCUUAAAAAUUAUAUUUUAAAAGGUUUCAUUUAUAAUUUUAUCUAGGUUCCCUAUUUAUUAAUACAUUGCAUAAGAUUUGUUAUCAGUUAAUUGUAUCUUGCCAUUAUUAUUGGCUCUUGUGAUUUUAGAUAAAGCUGGUUCUUGAUCUUGCAGGCAUGUGCUCUAAGUCCGCCCAAAGUUUCACCAAAUCCUGCGUUUUCUUGAGAUUUCUGCGAGGUUUUUGUUCGAAUAGGCAACAAGGCGCACGAUAUUGUUGAAGGGCAAAUCCUUCCAUACGUGUCCAAAAUUCGAAGUCAUUUUCAAUUCAAGGUCCACGAUAUACUUUUUAUAAUAUAAUAAUGCUAGAAUUACGCUCGAACUCCUCAGCAUGCAUCGAGUAAUCGCGUUUGGAUUUCGAGUUCGACUGAUUUGAAAUGCUCGAUGUCUGUGUUGUGUGCAUUAGGGGUGAGCAAAAAAACCGAAAAACCGAUUAAACCGAGAAAAUCGAAAAAAAAAUAACCGAAAAAACCGAACCGUAAAAAAAAACCGAUCAAACCGAUUAGAAAAAUUAAAAAACAAGCCGGUUCGGUUCGGUUUCGGUUUUAAAAAGCUGAAACCGAAUAAACCGAACCGAACCGAACCGGUUCAAGUAAAAAAAUUAAUACUACUAUAAAUACCUACUUUUCAGCUUUCCCCUUCUUUUUUCUAAACCCUAGCCGCCACCCAUCUUUCACAAUCUUUACCUCUCAACUCAGCCCCCACCCCCAUCUUCACUUUCAACCUUUAUCGUCCAUAUUUUUCAAUCUUCAUCUCUCAGCACAGCUCCCCUCCCAUCUUCAUCUCUCAUCCCUCAACCUUCCCCAUCACAGCCCCUAUCUUUAUCUCUUAUCUCUCAAUUUUUCUCACAAUCCUCCAUCAACAUCUUCAUUUCUCAUCUCUCUCAAACUUUCUUUAAAGCUUUAAGCACAACUCCCCUCCUUCCUCAAAGUAGAUCCGGUGAACGAACCAUCAUUAUGUCUCAUCUCUCAAUCUUUUUGUUCUUUUCUUUAAACAUAGUCGACUAAGCUCAUGGAUUAACAACCAAACAGCAGCUUUGGAGCCCCCCUCUCUCCAAUCUUUAUCUUUUAAUUUUUGUCCUUGUUUAGUUUUUUUUUUUCCUGAUUUUUGUAGAUUUAUUAUGUAUUCAUUUUCUAUAUUUAUUUACAAGAAUGUUGAUCUGUCAUUCAUGUUCCGAUUACCGUAAUGGAUGUUGUGAUAAUUAUUUUUUUCAAAUUUUCGUUUGAAUCUUGUUCUUUUUGGCUUCCUGAUUCAGAAAACUUGCUUGAUAUGCGUGGUCAAGAUGAAAUCGGUUUAUUCCGGUUUUUCCUUUUAAUUAACCGAACCGAACCGAACCGAAACUGGUCGGUUUGAACCGGUUUCGGUUCGGUUUCGGUUUUGAUUUAAAAAUGAAUAAAUAAAUCGGUUUGGUUAGUUUUUUAGGUGAAAACCGGACCGAACCGGAAAUGCUCACCCCUAGUGUGCAUGUAACCCAAAGAAUAAAUAGUGUUUGUGUCAUCGACCGAGACGGUGAGCACUGUGGGCGUGCAAUGACGUUUCUGCUCGGAGGAGGCUAUGUGAUUUCUUUUUGACAGGCAGCGGUUUCUUUUCUUUAUUCUUUAUUAUUUUUUCCCAAAGGGUUCCUAUUAAGAUAGAAAGGAUACAUGGUUCAGACAAAAAAAAAAAAACAUAUUUAUCUUGUAAUCCUAUUUAUUUUUAUAUUUUAUAUUUAUCUCUCUAACCCGAAACAUGUUUGUUCUUUUUAUAUUUAUAUUUAUAUUUGUACUUUCUAUUUUAAAACAAUAAUCAGUGCAUUAAUUAGACAGACAAUUACUAUCUAAUCACAAUUAUUUUCACAAUUUACACGGCUGAAUCUUGAAACACACAUGGUGCGGCUAAUCAAGCCAAAUUUGAUAGCAUUGAAGGGGUUUUGGUGACUUUUAUUUUUCACAAGAAGAAUGAAGUGCAACAUGGUGUUAUGUUGGCUUUAUCUUGCAGCUGCAAAAUGGGAUAAAAUGGCUGUCAUUUGUCAUUUUAUGGAGUUGAAUUAAACAUAUUUGUUUUUACGUUAUAAUUUUUUUUAAUUUUGUUUUUUUAAUUUUUUUUAUCAAUAUCCUCUCUCUCAUUUCUUUUUUUAAUUGUUCGCAUUUAAAUUUUUUUAUAACUAGUAACUAAUCUUUUUUAUUGUCUCUAUAAUUUUAUAAUAUCUUAAAUAGAUUAUUAUAAUUUAUCUUUAAAUUUUACAUCGAUCUAUUGUGUUUGUAUAUAUGAUAUAUUUAUAAAAAUAAAAAUCACAUGUAUUUAAUGAACCUAAUUUCACCUCCAAGAUUGAUAAAAAAUAUAUAUUUAAAAUGAAAAGAACAAUAAAGAUAAAAUAUUUACAUGUAUAUCUAUCAUUUCCUUUUUUACUAGGAUAUAUAAUUUAUUUUGUUCUCUUCUUGGAGACCCUUCUUCUGCAUACUCAACUCACUUUAUUUCUUCAAGCUAGUGAUAUUAGAAAAAUAAAAAAAUACUAUUAAUAUUAGAAAAAACCUAUAUAUAAUUUUUUUAUAUUUUGAUAAUAUAAUACCCACUUAAGAAUAUAUUAAGAAAAUUAAUGUGAAAACAGGAAAAGAAAGAAAGCAUCACGGUAGCAAUAGUGCCAUAAACGUGUUUGUCGGAGAAAAGAAGAAAGAGCUUGGAGAGGUGGAAGAUAAUUCACAUCAAUGGUGAUGUGAAUGUUUGUACCUGAAAUAUUCUCACGGUUGAUUGAGACUUGUUGUUGCUAAUGAUUAAUCGAUUUUAAUUUAAGACAAGACUGCAAGAUCAUCGUGUACAUCGAAACAUGGAGAGAUAAUAACCUAAGGCUGGUUGGUUUGUUUUUGCGUUUUAAACGUUUAUAUUUAUCAUGUAAAUAUUAUCUGUGAGCUUGUUGAAGCUCAGGGGCCUGAUUUUGUGCCUCGAAAGAAGUAGAAAACAUUACAAAAAAAAAAACCAUACUUAUCAGUGCAUUAAUUAGUUUUACAAUUUACACGGCUGAAUCUUGAAACACCAGCCCAGUUAUUGGCCAUUUUAAGCUUCAAACGCAACGGCUGAAACCUUCGAACUUACUCUUGACUUCCAUCUGGAAGUGCUUCAUCGUUAAAUUCAUUGUUUUACUUUUAUAUAUAUAUAUAUAUAUAUAUAUAUAUAUUGAGUUAUCUCGAUAUUAUAUUUCGGAUAAUAAGUUAGUCAAAUUAACCAUGAUUGUCACUCUCUUUUUUUUUUCCUUUGAUUUGUUUUAUAAAAUUAAAAUGUUUUAAACAAUUUCAUACUUCGGUGUUAAAUUAUUGAUCCUUGAACUAAGUGAUUUUUUCACUUUUUUAUUUUAUUUUGAGUUAUCCCCAGUAUAGGUUAAUCAAAUUAACCCGGGUUAACUUGCAUUUUCUUACUCGAUGUCUUUUUAUUUAACUUCGGUUUUUUUUGUUGGGUCCUUCUUUUGGAAAUCUAACUUUUUUUAUCCUGAUUUCAUGCCGCUAGUGGCAAGUUAGUCGAGUUAACUGGGUAUUUUCCCCCCAAAUUUUUUAUGACUUGUUUUUAUUUUUUAAUUUUAUCAUUCUGCAUUAAAUUAUUUUCCUUAAACUUUUUUUUUUUUUUUUGCUUCUCUUUCUAUUUCUUUAUUUCAAGAGUGGGUUGAUCAAGCUAACUAGGGUCAACUUGCAUUUUUGUUCACAACAUUUUUUAAUUUAACUUAUGUCUUUUUUGGCUUACCCUUUAAUUUAUAGAGGUCUAAUUUUUUUAACAUGGUUGUCUCGGAUUAUCAUCGCUUGAAUAUCUUUUUUUAAUGUUGAAAAAAAUUUGGUCCGACCCUCGAUGUGGCUCAAGCCACCUUCUUUCCAAUGAACAACACUUAAAUAAUAGCAUUCAAGGAGAGGAACAAUGAUUUCCCUAUAUUAGUUUUUGUUGAUAGACUAGAUCUUUGACCUGCUCUACACUCGGGUCAGAUCAAUUUUUUUUAAAUUACAAAAGAAACAUCCAGACAUUGCUUAUAUUUUUCAAGUAAAUGAUUUUUAAAACCGCGUGGAUGUUGAGCCGAUAUGACCUGAUCGACCUGAUGGAUAUAACCCCAAACAACCUGUAAAAAUGUUGUUUGAUUACCAAAAAUUCAAGACAAUAUUUUUUUUUAAUAAUAUUAGAAUGAAAACAUAUUGAAUCGAUUCGGGCUAACACAGGUUAAUUUAUCAAAUUGACGACCUAGAUUAUAAGACUAUGAUAACCCCACAAAAAGUAAAUCAAAAUAAAUUACGAAGCUCAAUUCUCAAUCAACUCAUUGUUGAAGAAUGUAAAUGAAAAACAUUAAUUAAAAAAUAACAAAAAAUUAUCUAGGUUAACUUGUCAAACCUGUGAUCCGGGUUAUCAUAUCAAAGAUAACCUCAUGAAAAGUAGACAAAAAAAAUUACUUGAUUUAACCCGGAUUAAUAUGUCGAACCUGCGACCAAGGUCAUGAUAUUGUGAUAACCCCAUUAAAAAAAUCAAAAUAAAUUGUGAAGCCUAAUUUUUAAUAAACUCAUUGUUAAAGGUUGAAAAUAAAAAAAAAAUCAAUUUAAAAAUAGAACACAGUGAAACAACUUGAGUCUACCCGGGUUAACCCCCAAAACACGUGAUCCGAGCAUAAGACUGGAUAACCUCGUAGAAAGCAAAACAAAAUAAAUCACGAAGCCUAAAUCACAAUCAAACCAAUGUCGAAUCAUGAAAAUAUAAAAAAUGCCAAUGAAAAAGUUAAAAAAAAAAAAAAAAAAACUCAAGUCAACAGGGUUAACUCACCAAACCCACGACUCAAGUCACAAAGCUGAGAGAACCUCAUAAAAAAUAAAUCAAAAUAAAUCAUGGAGCCUAAUUCCCAGUCAACUUGAUGUUGAAUGACUAAAUUGAGAAAAAAAAACGAUCAAUUAAAAAGAGAGAAACCACAAUAAAUCUGCAACACGGGUUAUAAAUCCAAGCUAACCACAAUAAAUUAUGAAUCCUAAUAUCCAAUAAACUAAAUAUUGAAGUAUGAAAUUAGAAAAAAAAUCAGGAUAAUCUCAUAGAAAGUAAAUAAAAAAAGACCUAAGUCAACCUUAAUUAAUCUGUCAAACUCGCGAUCAAGAUCAUGAGACUGUGAUAACCUUGUUAAAAGCAAAAAUAAAUAAAUUAUGAAGCCUAGUUUUCAAUAAGCUCAUUGUUAAAGGUUGAAAAUGAAGAAAAUUAAAUUAAAAAAUGGGAUACAACAAAACAAUAUGUGUUUAUCCGUGUUAACCCACAAAACACGUGACCUAAGCAUAAAACCAAGAUAAACCCAUAGAAAACAAACCAAAAUAGUUCACGGGGCCUAAUUCGUAAUCAACCAAAUAGUGAAGGAUGAAAUAGAAAAAAUUCCAAUAAAAAAAAAUGUCAAUAAAAACUCAAGUUAAGUAGGUUGACCCGCCAAACCCGCGACUCGAGUAAUAAGACUGAGAUAACAUUAUAUAAAGCAAACUAAAAUAAAUCAUGAAACCUAAUUCCCAAUCAACCUAAUGUUGAAUGAUGAAAUUGAAAAAAAAUUAUCAAUUAAAAAAGAUAUAUAAAACUGGAGUCAACCCGCCAAACACGUGACACGGGUUACAAGAUUGAGCUAAAUAAAGCAAACCACAAUAAAUUAUAAAACCUAAUCUCCAAUAAACUAAAUAUUGAAGUAUAAAAUUAGAAAAAAUAUAUAUAUAUAGAAAAAUAAAGACAAAAAAAUGUUGUUGAAAUGAAUAGUAUUUUACAAGAUAGUGCACUAUAAAAGCACCACCUCUUUUAGUUUAUACUAGAUAUUUGACCCGUGUUUCACCAUUGGUUAGAAUUAUUAUUUUUUGACAAAAAAAUUUAUAUAUAGACUAUUUCAAUAAUUUUUUGUAUUUUAGAAAAUUCCAAGUGAAAAAAACAAUAUACAUACAUAUAAUCAAAACAAUUGAGAACUGUAUGUCUUAAUAAGUGAAAAACAAAAACUGAAAACUCGAGAGACAAGUAUAGAUUAAGAUAUUUAAUUUUGUAAGAUGUGACAUUUACACGGUUGUGUUUUCUAAAUUUAUUGAUUAAAAUAAUUGUUUUAUUCAAUCAAACAAUAAUAAAAAUAGACACACAAAUUAAGUUAAUUGAAUAAAAUAAAAUGUAAAAAAUAAUAUGCAAGGUUGCACAUAUUAGAAAUAUUAUUUGAAAAUAAAUUUCUUUUUAUUUUCAAAAUUAAAUUUCAUGUAUAUAAAAGAUUAAAAAAUAUAGAUUAAUAAGAAAUACCUCCUAAAAAAUUAAAUGCAUAAUUAAAAUAUAAUUUUCAUUUCAAAUAAGCUUUCUAAAAGCAUAAAAGAGAGAAAGAAUAUUAAUCUAAAUAAAAAUAAAAAUAAAAAUAAAAAUAAGAUUAAUUUUUAAAAAAUAGAAACAAAAAACAAAAGAAAAUCUUUUUCCCUAAAGAGAAAAAAAGUUAAUAAUGUUGUCCAUAGUAAAACUUGAGGGGUGAACCUAGACCAUGAGCUCAACCAGGUUUAAUAUUUUUUUCCCUUGAAAUUUAAACAUAAAAAAAAUAAACAAUGUCAUCCACGGUAAAACAUAAAGGGAUGAAUAAUGCAGUUGCACGAUGUUCACCUCACAUAUUUUCCCUUUAAAUUUAUAGCAAAACCUUAAAAUAAAAUAACAAACUAGUGUCGUCCAAAAUAAAACAUGAGGGGGUGAGCAGUGUAUCUACAUAGUGUUCACCCCAUAUGCAUUGUCAAAAUCUAAUUUUUUACCCUUUUAUUUUAAUUUUUUUUUUAUUACCCAAAAAAAUGAUAGCAAAAAAAAAAAGAAAAAGAAAAAAUGAUGAUGGAAGAAAUAAAAUGAUGAAAUAAUUGAAGAAGGAAUCAAAAUUUGGGUUAAGGGCAAAAUGAUUUGAAGUUUUUGUGUUCACUUAAACUUUGGAUUGGUUUUAUUAAUCAAAUCAAGAGCUUAAUUAGAGAAUUGAUAAGUUUUGAGACUUAAUUGAGCUUGGAAUUAAUUUAAAUAAUGAAAUCAGGGACUUAAUUGAAGAAAUACCAAAGUCUGGGGUUAAUUGAGGGCACAAUUGCAAUAUAUUAAAGUCCAAGGUCUAAAUUGUAAAAGGCGCCGAAAUGCAGGGAUCCAGUUACAAUUUAACUAGGAGCUUAAUUACAAAACUGUAAAAAAUUCAAGGGCCAAAAUGCAAAUAGCCAUUAAACACUAAAAAACAGCUUUGUUUCCCACUACUGUUCAUCUUCCUCCCGACUAAAACGGACGCCCACCGCUGCUCCCACCAUUACACCUGCAAUUAACACACUUUAUGGCUGGAAGAAACGGCAUUGUUCUCUGGUUAUAAAAGACAACAAGGCUAACAAGGUGUCUGGGUGAUCUGGAAGCCAACAAGCCCUUACAAGAAGUGCACGGGGCAAUUUGUGCUACCCACGCAAAUAGACACAUGAUGGCUAGGCAAAUGCAUAAUUUUUAACACGCAAAUAGAGCAGGUUAUUUUUAGCUGACCAAGGAGAAAGAUUGCAUAAUUUUGUCCGAAGGUGCCACAAAUGUCAAGUGUAUAGUGACAAAGUCAAUACGCCUCCCGCACCCUUAUUCAACAUAGUGUCUCCUUGGCCCUUUGCAAUGUGGGGAAUAGAUGUGAUUGAGCCAGCCUAUUAAUUCAAAAGCCAGUAAUGUGUAUCGUGUUAUCCUUAUAGCGAUUGAUUACUUUACCAAAUAGGUAAAGGUCUUCUCAUAUGCCCAUGUGACUUAGAAAGUGGUCAAACGGUUCAUAGACAAAGAUAUAAUCUGUAGAUAUGGUGUACCCGAGAGAGUAGUGACUGAUAAUGCUCAAAACUUCAAUGGAAAGAUAAUAGCAGAGCUUAUGCUUGCUUAUUCAUGUGCACAUCAAUCGAGCUACUUUUAUUGUUUAUACAUGUAUUUUGACUUUUAGAAACUCAUGAGGAACUUCAAACAUUCCAUUUUGACUUCAUUCCUGCAAAGAAAGCUGAUAGUCUUCAGCAUACACUCAUCAUACUUAAUCCAUUGCAUAAUCAUAACUACUAAUUCUUCUAUAGGCAAGAAAUUUUCUGGAACUCAGACUACCCUGUAACAACAACCACAAAAACAUCUCAAUUUUUUAGGAGGAAAUAUACUUGCUAGAGUUAAGUAUCAAAAUUCUCAUAUCCUGGAUGCUGAAUAUCAUCAAUGAGAGCACAAGCUGAUUUAACAGUAAAAAUCUCAUUCUUCUCUCACUGCCACACCCUUAUCUCAGCUGAAUAAAAAAUAGAUAAAUUCCACUCUGCUUUAGGUUUUGAUGACUCCAAACGCAGACACUCCCUAUUCUCAGCUUCAUGCAUGACCCCACAUUUAGCAAUACAUGUCAAUGAACGCGUUUGCUAUGAUCACACUGAUUCGUUGUGUUUUGUAACGAUGAUGUAGUUUCAAUGGAUUCCCUGACCAAAUUCCAAGCAAUCCAAUUGCCACAAGCAGAGAGCACACGAACUAAUGUUCUCCAAUGGAACAAACGCAGCCUCCAGCAUGUUACAAACCAUUCUAAAGCUUCCUUUGGGUGGUUGCCCAGCAAUCCCAUGGCACUCCAGGAAACCACAUUCCUCUCCGGAAUCUCAUUAAACGACAUCCUUGCCAGCUCUAGCUCACCGCGUUUAGCAAACCCAUCAACCAUACUCGUCCAAGAAAGCACAUCUCUAACUCCCAUACUCGUCCAAGCAGCCACAUUUCACAUUCAUGGUGAUUUGCAUUUCUAGUUUUACAUAUUCGUGAAAACUCUUCCCUAUUCUCAAACCCCCCUUCUGCGAGCAAGCUGAACGAGCGGCUCUAAUUUAAUUCUUUAAAUUCUUUGCCGCUUCCUCUCAACGCUGUCGUUUAUGCUGUAUUUGAAUAAUUUCCCUCUUCUGUUGUCUUAAUCCCUAGCUUUGUUAAUUCCAUUCGUGACACAGUGUGAGAGGGGGCAAAAGGCAAAAGGCAAAGGCAAGACAAAGCUUGGGGGUAGAUUAGCCAGACUAUAAAGGAGAAGGACUUAUUUGUACUUGUUCCAAGAUUGUGAGUCAAAAUAAUACCGCUUCUUUUCCUUCAAACGCAAUCUCGUCCUACGUUCCAGGGAAUCUUUUUACCUAAUCUCUUAAUAUAUAUUUGAAUGGCAUCUUGGCUUAAGCUCCUUCAAUUAUUGCUUUCGAAUAUUCUCAUGGUAUUGCUCUUUGUUUUUGAGGAUCCAAUUAAUAAGCAAAUCAUGGAGACUUGGCUGUUGACCCUCAACACUCUCGUCUGCAUUGACUCCUUCAAUAUCUUGGAUGUGAACCAGGCUUGGAAUAUUGGGUGUUCUUGUUUUUGAUACAUGUAAAGAGGUAAGCUAAGCAUCUCUUUCAAGAUCUCUCUAGCUGCUGCAGGGAUGCCAAAUCGCUUUCUUUCUUCAAGUUCCUUAGCAGGAGUAUUGUAUAGCAACCAACUUUCUUUGGGUUUUGCUCCAGGUUUGGGCCAAUUUUGAUGCCUUCUGUGAAUCCCUCCAUCUGGGCUUAUCAAAAGAGGAGGAAAGAAGUAAGUUUCUCUUCUCAGUUUCAGUGUUUCAGUACGCCAUAACACCAUCUCCAGCUUCUUUCAGAAGAGCAGUUCGAAGCAUUCGCAGAGCAGAAAAUAGUUUGGCGGACAGGUUCUGUCAUGUUAAAAGUUCAAUAGAUGGUCAGGAAUCUCAUCAAUCAUGAUGAAUGAAGAGAACAAAAACCCAAGACAUAAGCAUACCAAGUCCACUUCAGAUUGAGGUUGGGCAGGACUACAAGCUUGUGGAGGACUUAACUUCCCAGACAUUAGAGAGCCUUUUGCUGGAGUAGCCUCGGAUUUGCCCUGUUUUGAAGCUUUUACAGAGGAAGGGAAUCUACAAGGAGCAUGAGAUACCAGAAUGAGCAUCCUACCUGUUCAUUUCAGCUAUGAAAAACAGAAAGGUUAAAUGAUGAUAGUUUGUCCAGAGGAUCAUAAUAUGUGAGGCUAAGCAAAGCACAAGGCUAAGCUUGCUGGCUUCAUCCAACUCUUGGUCUCCAUAAUUUAGUCAAAGCCACCCUCGCUAAUGCUAUAUGUAAAUUGUAAAUUUUAUAACCAGUCGCUCCAAAGUUAAACAUCUGGACCAACCAACACAAAACUUACUCGGGCCAGAUUUCUGACAGCUUCAUCUGAAUUUCUUUGCAAAAACAUGUGUUUUGCAUAGGUUUUGCCCAAUGAAAGGGUAUGGUUUAGACCGAACAAUCCAACCCAAAUGAACUAAGACCUUGUCGGUUCUAUUUUCUCUUAUGCUCAAUAUCCACAUGCUUCUUCAGAGAAUAAUCAAAAGAAGCAUACAUUUGGCACUUUUCUUAUGCUCAAUAUCCACAUGCAUUUGGCAAUAGAGCACUGGCAUAAGUCUAAUGAAACAUGUACUCAAAAGAAGCAUGCUGAAAGGCUGCACCUUAAAACAAUCCUUUGCCCGCCAGAGCAUAGUUUGUGUGCCUUGGAUUCAUUCACCUGAAAGAAAUUAAAAUGAUCAUUUAACAUGAGAAAUUAAACAAUGAGAAUGGUAGAGUCGCUCUCUCUAUCACACUGAGUUAAGCUCUAUAUAGAAUUUGAAAAACCACAAGCACCUUUAACACUGACGAUACAGAUCUGUAAAUGUCACUUUUCUUAACUAUUUUGCAUUGUAUGAACCCAUUCUGACAAUAUAUCAAACCAGAAAGCAUGAAACCAACUCUUAAGAUGCCCUAAGCUUCAAAUUUAUAAUUAGAAGGCAAUAUCAAUUGAUAUUUUUUGCUAGAAUACUGGUAAUGUAGAUGACACUCACUUAGCAACUUUCUCUGGCGUGACAUAUAACAACUUGUAUUUACAAUAAUCAGAACAAAGUUCCCUUAGGAUCUCCUGUUGUUCAGUCCACUCCAUGUUGGCACUCAGGUAAGCAGCAGGAAUUUUUGCCUAUAGCACAAACCAAUAGGUAAGAAAAAUGCAUGCCACUAAAUGAGCAGUUUGCAGUAACCAAAGGAAAAUAAAUGCUUGACUAAAUUAGUAAGAUAGCUAGCAUACCUGUAAAAGGUGCAUUAUUUGAUCUUGGAUCAGCGACACGAGUGGAGAAAUUACUAAGGUUAUUCCAGGACAAACUAGAGCAGGAAGCUGCGUGAAUCAUUAAAAAAAAAAAAAAAAGAGUGGGUCCAUUGUUAAAACUGUGAACCAAGAAAAAGUUUAAUUUCCCAGUAUCACCAAAAAUUCAAAGAUAAAGAAAAUUUAGCCAAGCUGGUAUUCUAGAAUCAAUUCAAAUGCAAAAUAUUGUCAGAGAUAUGACUCUGGAAGUUAAACAGAUUGUCACAAAUGGAAACAGCAAAAUAAUGGAAAUUAAAUGAAACUAAAGCUGUGUCUAACAGAAUUAGACUUUAUUAGAGCUGAAUGAUCACCUGAUAUGUCAGACUUUUUCCACCUCCUGUUGGCAUUAAAACAAAGACAUCAUACCCACUCAUUGUAGCAUUGAUUACCUCUCUUUGAUUGGGGCGAAACGAGUGAUUUCCAAACACUUUUUUGUUAUUGGCCUAGCAGCAAACCAAGCAAACAGUAAUAUAGUAUGUAAUGAAACUAGUGAUUGAUAAAAUUCUAAGAAAUGGGUAAAAAUCUAGAGCAAAAGAGCACCUCCAGCUUUUUUGUCCAUGGGAAAUUUGUGCUGCUCCACUUUGAGCCUUCGAUAUAAUUAACUUCAACAAAGCUUGGAAUGUAAGGUUCUCUCUCUAAAGGAACAGAAGAAACAUCAAAGCUAUCAAUGGAAGAGAAUGAAACUGAGGGUGCAUUCCACUUUUCAUAUCCAUUCAGGUCAUUUCGUAGAUGAACCUGGGCAUCAAAUCUCAUGGGAUCUAUUUUGCAUGCAGCAGAUUGAGGUGUUUCAUACUGCAAAUUUCGAACCAAUGUGGAUGCAGAACAAUGUGACUUCUGUCUUUCCUUAUCACGAAGAUAUUUUUCAAGUUGCUGAAUUUGCUUAUUGAGCUGUGACCUAUUUAUGAAAACAGAAAUAGACAUGCAUAAGAGAGCAAAUCUAACAAUCAUUCGAGCUUAUCUCCCAAGAAAAGGAGCUGAGAGUGUUUUACAAAAUGCAAAAAGACAAUGGAGCAUAUUUUUCAUGUCUAUCAUACUAUAUUUCCUUCCAUGUAAUCCCAGAAUUCCUCUGCCAUACUCUAUUUCUAUUCUUCCUGUGAACUUUGGUUCACCUAUUGUGGCUCCAUUGAACCAAAAAAACCCAUGCAUCAAAAGGUAGUAUGAUAUCAUGGGAGAAGAAAAAGGAGAAGAAGCACAACCUAUCUUGGCGAAGCUUAUCUAUUUGCGCUUGACUCAGUUCAGCAGCAUUGUCAAGCAGAUCAUUUGAUACUGCAAUCAGCAUAUCCUUCAUUUCUUGUAAAUGUUUGGCAGCUUCUGGGCAAAGUCCUAGCUGUAAUGAUUUAAGAAUCAGGCAGAUCAAGAUGAGAAUAGAAUAGAACAGUGCAAAUAUAGUGCCCAAACCUUGAAUCCAUGACUGCAGUUUGAACACAACUCAGGUGGCACAGAAAUCUCCUCUGGCCUUGUAAAACUAUUUUGAUCUGCAGUUGGAGUUAUGAGCGGAAACUUAGAAAUUGCUGGUUGCGGUGUGCAAGUAGCUUGGUAGUGCUCCAUAACAAUUUGGUCCACAUCUAUACUCUGCCACCAAGCUAACAUGUGCAAGGAGCAUGAGAUACCAGAAUGAGCAUCCUACCUGUUCAUUUCAGCUAUGAAAAACAUCGAUGUUUGUUUCAUAGCAUCAUCACCAAUGUAUUAGCUCCCAUGAUUUAAAGAACUAUAUAUAUGUUAAAUCUAUUUCUUUUUUAUUCAUUUCGAUUUAUUUAUCCAUCAAAUCAAUGGAAAUCUUCAUUUUCAGACACUUGAAAAGCGCACAAAAUAGAAAAAAUUAAAAUUAAAAACCAACAAAAUUGAAAAACCUGGAAAUGUAAAAACUUGAAGAAAUAAAAAAAAAAAUUAUUGGAAAAGUAAGGUCAUUACAUAUAUACUAUAUAACUCAUACUAUUAGAGACAGAAUCUGAUCACAUAUAAUUAAUUAAAUCCAUUAUUGCUGAGAAUUACAUGCACGUAAUACAUAUUGAAGAAACUAAGAACAGCAACAUAUUUAUUUAAUUAGACUGAUGCUAAGAACAUCGAUUAUCACUACAAACAGUACUCAAACAUAAACAGAUUGACGCUCCAUGCAAAUAAUAGCUAGUUAGCUCUUGUCACUUCAACCCAAACCUCCUCACCAAACAGCAUGAAACUACUCCUCCUCUUAGCUUCAACCCUGAACUGUGACCCCAGGUUCUGGUCAUCCUCACGAUGAAGAACAACCAUGUCACCAACUCUCAGUCCAUAAUCAGCAACAAAUUGAAGCCAGCCCAUAGAAAGCACUGGAUUUUCACCAUUUCUCUUCAGGCAACGAAUGACUCGAAGCUCACCAUAGCAAUCUCUAACAUUCAAAUCAACAUAAUUAUUUCCAGCAAAAUCUAAAUGCUCUAAGCAAUGAGUUGGGAACGAGAACCGCACACGAACAUCAGUAUCAGUUAACACUUUGCUGAAGAUCUGCAUUUUUUUCUCAAGGGUCGUAAAAAGAGAGAGAAAUGGUUAUGUUUAAGCUAUCUACCGGAUUGAUACACUUGCUCAAGAUAUUGUUAAUUAGUGGAGACAAAGUGGAGACAAACAAUGUCCCACCAUAUUGCAAGUGGAAAUAUCUAACAUGGUGGAGAUGGUGGGCAUAAAUCAUGGUAUAUAUGUAUGCUCAGUAAAGAGUUCGACUGAUUUGAAAUGCUCGGUGUCUGUGUUGUGUGCAUGUAGCCCAAAGAAUAAAUAGUGUUUGUGUCAUCGACCGAGAGCGUCAGCACUGUGGGCGUGCAAUGACGUUUCUACUCGGAGGAGGCUAUGUGAUUUCUUUUUGACAGGCAGCGGUUUAUUUUCUUUAUUCUUUAUUAUUUUUUCCCAAAGGGUUCCUAUUAAGAUAGAAAGGACACAUGGUUCAGACAAAAAAAAAAAACAUAUUUAUCUUGUAAUCAUAUUUAUUUUUAUAUUUUAUAUUUAUCUCUCUAACCCGAAACAUGUUUGUUCUUUUUAUAUUUAUAUUUGUACUUUCUAUUUUAAAACAAUAAUCAGUGCAUUAAUUAGACAGACAAUUACUAUCCAAUCACAAUUAGUUUCACAAUUUACACGGCUGAAUCUUGAAACACCAGCCCAGUUAUUGGCCAUCUUAAGCUUCAAACGCAACUGCUGAAACCUUCUAGCUCACUCUUGACUUCCAUCUGGAAGUGCUUCGCCGUUAAUGCCAUGAUAUCCUCUUGUAUAUUUUACAUUGCUAUUUUUUUUUUUAAUAGUGGUCUUCAUUGAAAAUUAUUAUUAUUUUUUAAUUUAUCAUUUGACAUUUGAUUAUUAAACCCUUAACUUUAUUAGUUUACAUUUUUUUUAUUGAGUUAUCUCGAUCUCAUAUUUCGACUAAGAGGUUAGUCAAGUUAACCAUGAUUGCCUCAUUUUUUUUCCUUUGAUUUUUUUAUAAAAUUGAAUUUUUUAAAACAAUUUCAUACUUUGGUGUUAAAUUAUUGGUCCUUGAGCUAAGUGAUUUUUUCAAUUUUUCAAUUUUUUUUUAAUUUUGGGUUAUUCCGAGUACAGGUUAAUCAAGUUAACCCGGGUUAGCUUGCAUUUUCUUACUCGAUGUCUUUUUAUUUGACUUUAGUCUUUUUGCUAGGUCCUUUUUUUGGAAGUUUAAUUUUUUUAAUCCUGAUCUCAUGUCGCGAGUGGUGAGUCAAUCGAGAUAACCCGAGUUGACUUGGUGUUCCCUAAUUUUUUUAUGACUUUGUUUUUAUUUUUUAAUUUAUCAUUUUGCAUUAACUUAUUUGCCCUAGGCUUUGUUAUUUUUUUGCUUCUCCUUCUAUUUCAUUAUUUCAAGAGUGGGUAGUUGAUCAAGUUCACUAGAGUCAACUUGCAUUUUUGUUCACAAUGUUUUUUUAUUUAACUUAGACAUUUUUUGCCUAGCCUUUUUUUGGAGAUCUAUUUUUUUUCCCAUCAAUAUCUCAUGGCGUGUAUGAUGGGUUAGUUAAGUUAACCUAGGUUGACUGAGAUUUUUUUCCCUUGAAUUUUUCUUAUGAUUUUUUUUUCAAUUUCAUCAUUUUACAUUAAAUUAUUUUCCCUUGAGCUUUUUUAUUUUUUCACUUUUCUUACUAUUUGGUUAUUCCGAUGGUGGGUUGGUAAGUUAACAAGGAUUGACUCUACUUUUUUUUUUUUGACAUUUUUUUCAUCAAACUUUGGUUUUUUUACUAGGUCAUCCUUUUGAAUUUUUUUUUUAUCCUAAAAUCAUAUCAUGGGUUGUUGGUUUGUCAAGUUUUCCGAGCUGACUCGGGUUUUCUUCUUUGGCGUUGUAUUUUUUGAAGCUUUUUUUUUCAUCUUUAACAUUAGGUUAUUAGGCCUUGAAGUUUCUAAAUUUCAUUUUUUUUCUUUUUAUUGGUUCUUUCGGUCUUAUAUCUUAGGCUGCGUUUUAGUUAAUUUAACCAGAUUCUCUCAUAUUAUCAUCGUUUGAAUAUCCUUUUUUUACUGUUGGAAAAAGUUUGGUCCGACCCUCGGUGUGGCACAGGCCACCUUCUUUCCAAUGAACAACACUUAAAUAGUAGCAUUCAAGGAGAGGAACAAUGAUUUCCCUCCAUUAAUUUUUGUUGAUAGACUAGAUCGUUGACCUGCUUUACGCCUCAGGUUAGAUCAAUUUUUUUUUAGCAUACAAAAGAAACAUCCAGACAUUGCUAAUAUUUUUCAAGUAAAUAUUUUUAAAACAGCGUGGAGGUUGAGCCGAGUAACCUGAUCGACCUGAUGGAUUUAAGUAACCCCAUACAACCUGUAAAAACGUUGUUUGAUUAACAAAAAUUCAUGACAAACAUCUUUUUUUUAAAAAAUAAUAUUAGAAUGACAACAUAUUGAAUCGAUUCAGGCUAACAUGGAUUAAUCUGUCAAAUCGACGACCUAGAUUAUAAGCCCACGAUAACCCUAUAAAAAAUAAUUCAAAACAAAUUACAAAACUCAAUUCCCAAUCAACUCAUUGUUGAAGAAUGUAAAUGAAAAUAAUUAAUUAAACAAUAACAAAAACAUAUCUAGGUUAACCUCCCAAUCCUGUGAUCUGGGUCAUGAUAUCAAGAUAACCUCAUGAAAAGUAGACAAAAAAAUUACUUGUUUAACCCAGAUUAAUAUGUCGAACCUGCGACCAAGGUCAUGAUAUUGUGAUAACCCCAUUAAAAGAAAAUCAAAAUAAAUUAUAAAGCCUAAUUUUUAAUGAACUAUUGUUAAAGGUUGAAAAUGAAAAAAAAUCAAUUUUGAAAAUAGAACACAGUGAAAAAACUUGAGUCUACCCGGGUUAACCCGCAAAACACGUGACCCGAGCAUAAGACUAUAUAACCUCAUAGAAAACAAAAUAAAAUAAAUCAGGAAGUCUAAUUCACAAUCAAACCAAUGCCGAAUCAUGAAAUAUAAAAAAUGCCAAUGAAAAAGUAAAAAAAAUAAUAAUCAAGUCAACAGAGUUAACUCACCAAACCCACGACUCGAGUCAUAAGGCUGAGAGAACCUCAUAAAAAAUAAAUCAAAAUAAAUCAUGAAACCUAAUUCUCAGUCAACUUGAUGUUGAAUAAUUAAAUUGAAAAACAAUGGUCAAUUAAAAAGAGUGAAAACAAACUCGAGUUAACCCGCCAAACCUUAAACACGGGUUAUAAGUCCAAGCUAACCAUAAUAAAUCAUGAAUCCUAAUCUCCAAUAAACUAAAUAUUAAAGUAUGAAAUUAGAAAAAAAAAAUUCAAGAUAAUCUCAUAGAAAGUAAAUAAAAAAAAAACCUAAGUCAACCUGAAUUAAUCUGUCAAACUCGCGACCAAGGUCAUGAGACUGUGAUAACCCUGUUAAAAACAAAUAAUUUUUUUUUUAUGAAGCUUAAUUUUUAAUAAGCUCAUUGUUAAAGGUUGAAAAUGAAGAAAAUUAAAUUUAAAAAUAGGAUACAACAAAACAAUAUGAGUUUAUCCGGGUUAACCCACAAAACACGUGACCUGAGUAUAUGACCGAGAUAACCCCAUAGAAAACAAACCAAAAUAAUUCAUGAGACCUAAUUCAUAAUCAACUAAAUGCUGAAGGAUGAAAUAGAAAAAAAAUCAAAUAAAAAAAGUCAAUAAAAACUCGAGUUAAUUAGGUCAACCCGUCAAACCCGAGACUCAAGUAAUGAUAAUCUUAUAUAAAGCAAACUAAAAUAAAUCAUGAAACCUAAUUCCCAAUCAACCUAAUGUUGUAUGACGAAAUUGAAAAAAAAAUGUCAAUAAAAAAGGAUAAAUAAAACUAGAGUCAACCUGCCAAACCCGUGACUCGAGUUACAAGAUCGAAUUAACCAUGUAUAUAGCAAACCACAAUAAAUUAUAAAACCUAAUCUCCAAUAAACUAAAUAUUGAAGUAUAAAAUUCAAUAUAUAUAUAUAUAUAUAUAGAAAAAAAAAGGCAAAAAAAUGCUAUUGAAAUGAAUAGUAUUUUACAAGGUAGUGCACAAUAAAAGCACCAUCUCUUUUAGUUUAUAAUAGAUAUUUGACCCGCAUUUCACCGCUGGUUAGAAUUAUUUUUUUAACAAAAAAAUUUAUAUAUAGACUAUUUCAAUACUUUUUUGUAUUUAAAAAAAUUUCAAGUGAAAAUAAUAUAUAUAUAUAUAUAUACAUACACAUAAUCAAAACAAUUAAGAACUGUAUGUCUUAAUAAGUGAAAGAACAAAAACCAUAAAUGAUGACUAAAAAUUAAAACUGAAAAAAUUGAGAGACAAGUAUAAAUUAAGAUAUUAAAUUUUACAAGAUGUGACAUUUAAGCAGUUGUGCUUGCUAAAUUUGUUAAUUAAAAUAAUUAUUUUAUUCAAUCAAACGAUAAUAAAAUAGACACACACAUUAAAUUAUUUGAAUAAAAUAAAAGGUAAAAAAUAAUAUGCAAGGUUGCACAUAUUAGAAAUAUUAUUUGAAAAUAAAUUUCUUUUUAUUUUCAAAAUUAAAGUUCAUGUAUAUAAAAGAUUUAAAAAAUAUAGAUUAGUAAGAAAUAACUCCUAAAAAAUUAAAUGCAUAUUAAAUUAUAAUUGUUAUUUCAAAUAAGCUUUCAAAAAUGCAUAAAAGAGAGAAAGAAUAUUUAUUUAAAUAAAAAUAAAACUAAAAAUAAGAUUAAUUUAAAAAAAUAGAAACAAAAAGCAAAAGAAAAUAUUUUUUCCUAAACAAAAAAAAGUGAAAAAUGUCGUCUAUAGUAAAACUUGAGGGGGUGAACCCGGACCAUGAACUCAACUAGGUUUAAUAUUUUUUUCCCCUUAAAUUUAUUGCAAACAUAAAAAAAGUUAAUAAUGUCGUUCACAGUAAAACAUAAAGAGGUGAACAAUGCGGCAACACGAUGUUCAUCUCACACAUUUUCCCCUUAAAUUUAUAGCAAAACCUUAAAAAAAAAAAAAAAAAUAGUGUCGUCCACAAUAAACACAUGAGGGGGUGAGCAAUAUAUCUACACAGUGUUUACCCCAUACGCUUUAGUUUAUUUAGGGUAAACCCAGACCAUGAAUUCAACAGGGUUUAACAUUCCCCCUCUUAAAUUUAUAGCAAACUUAAAAAAAAAAAAAAAAAAACAAUAUCAUCUACAGUAAAACAUGAGGAAUGGUUUAGCUAAUGAGCACCUCUAAGUAACAGAGCAAUGAAUAAAAAGGUGAUCAAUGGUCUCAAUUUCCAUAUCACAAAAAUAACAACAACCAUCAUCAUAACUAAUAAUUCUUCUGUAGGCAAGAAAUCCCUUAACACUCAAACUACCCUGCAACAACAACCACAGAAACAUCUUAAUUUUAGGAGGAAAUAUACUUUGCCAGAGUAAAGUGCCAAAAUUCUGGUUUGCCGGCAAACGCUCCUGAUGGAGCAAGCAGUAACCAGCAGUGCAGACAUGGAAAGCGUUCUGUUAGAGUUCAGCAAUAAACUGUCGGAAGUCCUGGACCGUGUUGAUGAUGCGGGUAUUGAAGAAAUAGUUGAAGUAGUUGGUGGGUUGUUGCAAGUUGAUAACAAGGUAGUUGAUGAGGAGAAGCUUAAGCCAAGAAAGAUAGUCAUGUCUAGGAUGUUAGCAAAGAGCUUGCAGGCUGGGGAUCCGAUUUUUGAAAAAGUUUCCCGUGCUGUCUAUUUGGCUCUAAGAGGAAUUGUGCUCGGGGGCAGUGGACCCCGGGGAAGAAAAUUAGUAGAAAUGGCACUCAAGCAGAUUGGAGCUGUCAUGCUGACUAAAAGAGUGGUGGCAGCUGCUGAAGUAUUAGUGGUGGCAGCCACCGUAUCCACUGGCAUUCACAGGCCAUGGUAUGUAAAUCUGACCGAUAACCUGUGAUAUAUUUGUGCGUGCCGUAAGAAGAGAAUAAAUAAAUACAUGCGCACUGUACAGAGAAAUGCGUGUAAAGCUUAUGAUUAAUUGCAGUCGUAGAUGCCUGUAGAUGGUUGUAAUUUGAGAAUUCUUUGAUUUAAUGGGAACAAGAAGCUGUAAAUAGUAUUUAAG